AAUUGAUAAUAUCCUUAUCGAAAAGCAGGACUUUCCGCUCGGCAGUUAGUAGUGAAGCUGUCCUUCCUUCCACUCGGAUCCCGUCGCCGCUCUACCCAGAUAUCGUGGCGUUCCUGCAGUAAUUUCUGCGAAAAGUGGAUCAGGUCUGUGGGUGAGCAACGGCGAUUGUCAACUCUCCAGUCUGUAACUUCACGAUCCGGAGUUGGUCUUCUGUUUAAGAAGGUAUUGGCACUUUACCACUUUGCCACUGAUGAGCGACACUGGAAAUAACCUAAUAAUCUAUCUCUGUGUAGAGGAAUUCAAAUUCAACUUUCUGAUUCAUCUGCAGGCUAGAAAUUUACAAUGAACAGAAGAGCAACGAAAGAAAACUCAAAGCGACGAGAAAUUCUCUGACGCACGAAAAAAGUCAGUCCCAAGUCACAGUUCACAAUUACCACUACUUCACGCUCACGUAACUAAAACUUUCACUGAAUUUCAGGAUUGGAGGAAUUAUCUGACGCAAGUCGAAAAAACACGAAAACUUUUAAUAACUCGAUAUCGUUAGAAGUGUCAGAAAAUUAAUGUAAUUACAAAGACAUCCCCCCCCCCAAAAAAAGAACUUUAUCCUUAAAGCAGAAUGUUGGAUAUUUUUUGGUUCUCUGGUCGGAACAUUUGUUUUCAGCAACUACAGGCAAGAUUUUUAAACAACGCCUUGAUGUUAAAAUUUGGUCUUUUAAAACCUAUUUAUGCGUAAAUUCUCUUAAUUUCCCGAUUAACGUGAUAUCAUUAUUAUUUUCAAAUUUAAAUUGAUUUAUGAUUUUAUUUUCGAUUCGUAGUCAGCAAAGUACGUAUAAGAGCUGUGGCUCAUGCAUGAUGUUUUUUCUUACGAUGAAAGUAAAACAAUAAAUUAGUUAUAUUUAUGUAUAAAUAUACAACCACUAAAAGGUAGAAUAUAUUUUUAAAAAAAGAUAUAAUAUAAGGGGUCUUCUUACCUGAAAGAACAUCAAAAAGGUCAGUUCUUAAUCAAAAAAAAAUAAUAAGUUAAAAAAUAAACGAAAUACAACACACACCAUUAAUUUCGGCAAAAUAAAUAGAAUUCAAAAUGCUCUCCAAAACUGGGUAAUAUAUAACCUGCAACAUACAUGUAUUAACGAAAAAGUUAUUUCCAUGUAUAUUAAAAUAUACAUGGAAAAAAAAGGUUAAGAAACCAAAGUACGAAAAUUCAAAUGGAAAAGUCAAAUAUUCAUUGGCAUAUAAUUCCUUCUUCAGGUAAUAGCACUGCAACCUAAUGAAAAAAGAUCAGUGAAGACUGUGUUGUUCUAUGCUCCCUCUGAGGUUGUCAGCUGAGAAGUUUCCGAAGACUCAAAAUGGAUGCUGCGUCAUAUGCACACGCAAAAAUAUUUUUCUCUUGAAUUUUCAUAAAAUAUUUUAGAUGUUUGUUUGCAGAUUCUUAUACCUAACAGCAGAAAAUAAUUCUGCGUUGAUUUUUUUUCUCUUUUUUCAACUUCAAACUCAUAUUUGUCAUUAACAGUAGCUUUAUGUAGUUCAGGUGUACUCUUACAGCCAAAACAUAUUUGUGCCAUUUUAACUUUACUUCCAAACAUGAAUAUUUUGACACGCAAUAACUGAGAUGGUUCAGAUGUUCAUGCUUUCUUUGCAAAGAUAAAUUUACAUUUAAGAUAAGUUUAAAUUUACUUUAAGAUCCCCUUGAUUCUUGUUUCUUUUUAUCAAUGACACACACAAUUUUGUUCCAUAAUAUGCUUUUUCUUCAGAUGAAUGUUUCCAUUACACAUACUUGCUUUCGAUCGUCUAGGUUUGCAUUGCCUGAUGCUAUACACUUUUAUUUUGGUUUUACUGGGUCUGAGGCAGAAAUCAAAGAAUGAUCAAUUCGUUUUAAUUUUUUUCCUUUCAUUUUGCUACUUUACUCUUAACUUUUACUGAGCUUUCAGAAUACCUAGUGUUUCAUAUUCACAAUUUUAUGUUUAACUUGGAUUGUAAUUUCUCUUAGCCAUACGGUUUUUUUAAAGGUGGAACUGUUUUGUAAAGGUGAAGCAUAUUAGGGUUAUCUGUCCAAGAGGAAGUAUGCCUUCAUAGAAGACUUCCUAAGGGAAAUUGGCUCAUAUUCCCAUUUCAUAUAAAAACAUCUGCUAACACACCAUGCAGACAGCCCGUUCGUCCAGUUUCGAAUCAGGAUCGAUUCAGUUUCUAUUUUAUCAUGCAGACACCAGACGAUAUCUAUCUAACGGAAAGAUUUUUUAAUGUAAACAGGCUCACAUUCAUAUUUAUACGUGGAGAAAACCACGCAAACUCUAAUGCAGCUAAUGCAGCAUCGUUCGUCAGGAUUCGAACCCAGAUCGUAAUAUCAUUGCUCAGCGGUCGUAUUCAUUCGGCCAUUGGUGAGCCACGAUCAAAUGGGAUGACAAGGCAAUUCUUUUUUCAUAAUUCUUUUCGCAUUUUGUAUAUACUUUACUCAUCUUGAAAUAUUUAUAUUUAAAGAAUUUAAAUUUAGAAUAAAAAUAAAUUGCUCUUGAUCGAUAUCGUUGUAGGGCAGACAGAACACAGAUAAUGUCAAAAAUGCAAUAAUUGAGCUUGAUUUAGAUUUGCUUUUUCGUUAAUACUUUGCUUUUAUAACAGACCACGGAAUUUGAGGGAUAUGAAGAAUGAAUCCCCUAAAGUUAAUGCAUGCCGAUAAUUAAAUGAGACUAUAACAUUUUUAUAGUAUCAAAUUAUCUUAAAGCAAUUAAACAAGGCUACUUUUUAACAUCUAAAAAGUUAUCUCAGCUUAAGUCUAUAUCAGGCCUUCGCAAAUUAAGCUAAGUUCAAGACGCAUUUCUGCCUCUUACUAUGGAAAUUUAACGCAUAAUUGCCUUUUUCUUUCGGUAAGGCUUUCGGUUCCGUAAGCCUUUUUCUUUCGAACAAGGCUUACGGAACAAGCAGCUAAGUCCCAGUGUUCCAGAUCUUCAGGCGUAAUGGUCUUUGUAUCAUUAGGUGAAGCCCCCAGAAGACUAUAUUUCCAAGAAAUUUGAAGUAGAAAUACUAAAUUAUUCUAUAAAUGACCUUGAUAAAUAUUUUUAACAAAAUACUUCACGCAUAUUAAACCGUAAAUCUGUAACAGACAGUGCAAUAGAAAAGGGUGUCUGUUAUUUUAAAUCUUCAGCCGGCGUUCCCGAUCUAUCGCGUGUGGAAUGUGAGGUCAUUGCUUUCACAUCCAUAAAAGAAACGAUGCAAAUUCGGAAAUUUAUAGCCACUUUCAUGCUUUUUGAAGUUCAAGUUGAACAUCACGGGCUUUGUGGCUUAUAUUACAAUGGAAACGUUUUUACUUUUUUCUUCCUUUGACAAAUAUAUUACAGUCAUCUUAUAGGUUUAAUAACCUUUUAUUUCGAACAGACAGUAUAAAAAUAUAAAAGAUUCUGCAUAGCCCAAUUAUUCUUUUUACUUACUUUUUUGUUUGCGAGCGUUUUGUUUUCUCAAAAGUACAACAGACAUUAAGUACUUGAAAAUAGCGCUCAUUAAGAAAGUGUUUCUUACGAGAUGUUAAAAAAAAAUUAAAACACUAAUGUCUUAACACUGUUUUCUUUCAGAAUAUAUGGGCAAUGUUAUAUAAAUUAAGUAUUUCUAUUUACAUAUGUGGUUCUGAUGUACUGCAAAACGAAAUGCAAUGGAUUUUUGACUCAAUACAUCUGAUGAUCUGUAAAAAAUCUGUCAAGGAACUGUUAAAGAUGAAAUGAGAGUUAGAUAGCGAAGAGCAUUUGUUAAAAUUAACGGGGGGCGUGAUCUAUCCUACGUAGCUAAAAUUUUAGUUAGCUAAUUGAUUGGGGCAAAGCACACGAAAGUUCUCUGAUUAAAAGAGGAGAUAUUCGUGGAUGAAUUUUCAAGAGAAGCUGACUUUUAUUUGCAUUACAGAUGAAAAAAUAACACUCACUCACUUUUUCACUCAGCAUUGAUAACAAAUUUAGUCAAAAAAAUUUAUGUUUUUCUGUGGGCCCUUUUUAAUUAAGUGAGGCUAAGUGUUUAAACAGAGACUUCUCGUGAUUGGUUCUCUACCAUAAAAAAACUCAUUAGAAGUUCUUUAUCUCCACUGUUGGAAAAAUUUGAGGAGGAAUUCUUACAAGAUGUAACAGCCACCUGUGACGAAAAAUAAAUACUCUGGGAGAACAUUAA